UUCAUUACCCACUCAGCAGCCUGGUUCCUGUAAAUUCACACAGAACCCUGCUGGCCGCAAUUUGCUCCAGCACAUUUGGUCUUCCGGGGUGCCUGCUGUUAUUUAGGGGAGACCAUUUCUGACAUUUGUUUACUAGAAAGCUUCCUGUUGUACCAGACCCAUCAGCCUGCUGGUGUGCACUUGCACGAGACACUAGGACGACCUCCAGACCUUGGAUUGAAUCCUUCGGCCUCUAGCGUUAGACACCCUCUGUUCGCUUCCUCAUCGGACUCUGUGGCCGACCAUUUUGCUCAAUUGCACAGGCUGGAUUCUAAUUUGCGUUAGUGCCAUCUCAGCCUCCCAGAGUUCUGCAAUUAAAGGCCUGUGCUUCCAGGACCAGCAAAACAUGAGAAGGUACCAACCUGUGCAGGAUGAGGAUCCAAGGAUCAUUAUGCUGAGCAGAGUCUGUGGGAAGUCUGCAAUCUGUGAAUGCAUCGUUCUGAGCUGCAUUGGGCUAACAGUUACGACUUUGGGAAUGGGUCUCCUUAUACGACAUCACUCUCACCAUGUGGCUUUUGCUAUUGGAAUAAUACUGACAGCAGCAGGCUUGUAUAUAAUCAUCCAUUUGAUGUUGGUGGGUUGGAGGAAAGUCAUUGAGAUACUGCUGAUAAAUCUGUGUCAGCGGAGCUUUCAUUUCUUAUACGUUAGAACAGAGCUUUCCAGAGAUAGCCAGCACCUCUCUGAGGCCUAGUGUGAACUGUGGUAUCAGCAGUCCAUGGCAUGUUGAAGUUUUCUAAGCAUUGUUUUCAAGUACAAAUAAAAUUUGCCUUUUAAAA